GACCCUUUUAAGCCGAGGGUCACCUAGCCAACUGACGUUGUUAGUGAACCUUCUUGUUCACAUCUAUAUCAGCCAAUCGCGAGUAUUGCGAUUGGCUUUUUUU
rnacentral:sRNA from 1 species